rnacentral:rRNA from 1 species
GAUGAACGCUGGCGGCGUGCUUAACACAUGCAAGUCGAACGGUGAAGCAGGAGCUUGCUCCUGUGGAUCAGUGGCGAACGGGUGAGUAACACGUGAGCAAUCUGCCCUGGACUCUGGGAUAAGCGUUGGAAACGACGUCUAAUACCGGAUACGAGACGCGAAGGCAUCUUCAGCGUCUGGAAAGAACUUCGGUCCAGGAUGAGCUCGCGGCCUAUCGGGUAGUUGGUGAGGUAACGGCUCACGAAGCCUACGACGGGUAGCCGCCCUGAGAGGGUGACCGGCCCCACUGGGAUUGAGACACGGCCCACACUCCUCCGGGAGGCAGGAGUGGGGAAUAUUGCCCAAUGGGCGCAAGCCUGAUGCAGCGACGCCGCGUGAGGGACGACGGCCUUCGGGUUGUAACCCUCUUUUAGCAGGGAAGAAGCGAAAGUGACGGUACCUGCAGAAAAAGCACCGGCUAACUACGUGCCAGCCGCCGCGGUAAAAC